rnacentral:miRNA from 1 species
UACCUCCCUGAUUGGAAGGGUUUCCUUCCGAUCAACGAGGUACAUCCUCCUUGACCGGGAGGAACCCCUUCCGGUCAAAGAUUCGAUGUACCUCAAUGAUCGGAAGGGUUUCCUUCCGAUCAACGAGUACCUCGUUAAUCGGAAGGAAACCCUUCCGAUCAGGGAGGUA